rnacentral:rRNA from 1 species
UACGUAGGGUGCGAGCGUUAAUCGGAAUUACUGGGCGUAAAGCGUGCGCAGGCGGUUUGUUAAGACAGAUGUGAAAUCCCCGGGCUUAACCUGGGAACUGCAUUUGUGACUGGCAAGCUAGAGUAUGGAAGAGGGGGGUAGAAUUCCACGUGUAGCAGUGAAAUGCGUAGAGAUGUGGAGGAAUACCGAUGGCGAAGGCAGCCCCCUGGGCCAAUACUGACGCUCAUGCACGAAAGCGUGGGGAGCAAACAGG